GAUGAAGAACGUAGCGAAAUGCGAUAAGUAAUGUGAAUUGCAGAAUUCAGUGAAUCAUCGAAUCUUUGAACGCACCUUGCGCCCUUUGGCUAUUCCGAAGGGCAUGCCUGUUUGAGUAUCAUGAACACCUCAACUCUCAUGGCUUGCCAUGACGAGCUUGGACUUUGGGGGUCUUGCUGGCCUGUGGUCAGCUCCUCUCAAAUGAAUUAGCUUGCCAGUGUUUGGUGGCAUCACGGGUGUGAUAACUAUCUGCGCUUGUGGUUUUCCAUCAGAUAACCUUCAGUGAUGGAGGUUCGCUGGAGCUCAUAAACGUCUCCCCUAAGCGGGGACAGCCCUUUGAAUGUUUGAUCUCAAAUCAGGUAGGACUACCCGCUGAACUUAAGCAUAUCAAUAAGCGGAGGA
rnacentral:misc_RNA from 1 species